rnacentral:misc_RNA from 1 species
AGGAUGAAGAGUCAUUAUGGGCAUGUGAUCCAGAGCAUUCACAUGGCACUGGUAAGAAAAGGCAAGUAAAGUCUUCUGCUCGACAUCGAGGGAAAUCUCAUGUCAAGAAAAUGAAACGUGAGUUUUCUCUUUCUUUUAUUUUUUGUGUUUGUUUAAAUUAAUUUAGUUUGUUGUUUUAUUAACUUGCUUAACUUUGGAAUCUACCUUUUUAUAUUUAUUUCUUCAUUUUCAUGCUGAUAAUGUCACCCAUUUGAUAUAGUGGUCAGGAUUAUUAUUUAUCUAGAAGCUCAUAUGAGUAUGGUCCACACGGUGUUCUUGCUUUUAUCUGCAGGAUGAUGCCCUAAACAAUUUAUAACUUUUUGCUCUUCAAUAACUAAUAGCUGAAUAGUCCACUUGUAUAUUCCCUCAUUUUGGAUCAAUUUAGUUUUCUCUGACCAACAAAGUCAUCAUGGGAAAGGUGAAGGGUCGAAUUUGGUAACUCCUAAGUAAUAUUUGCUGUAACCACCAUCUCUUACACGCAAGUCAGAAUGCAAUUCUAAGACUAAAAUAGAAAAUAAUGCAACCCUGCCAUGGUAUAAUGACUGCAUUUCUGUGAACAUGGGGAAGACAAACUUAAGAGUUGUAAUUCUCUCUUCUAUUGGUUAACCAAUUUGUUGAGAACAAUGUAGAUAGAUGAUGAACAAAAUAAAUAAAAGGGAAAAGAAAGAGUGAAAGAAAUAGAGCAGGAGGGUAGUAUAGUUCCAAGCCUCUCAAUCACAAGAGAAUCGAAAGGGAAAGAAAAAGAGAAAAAGAAAGCACAAGCGAUUUCAAUAAUGAGUGGAAAAAUAAGGGAGCAAAUAUAUAGACUUUUUAAGAAGUUUUUGUAAUAAAAGAUGACAUCUAUUUUCAUAAUGUGUUUCUAUUGAGUAAAUGCCAUAAAAUUUUCAUGAUAUAAUUUUGGGUUCCUCUUCCAAAACCUUUUUAUAUGUCAUUGUUUAAUUCUCAUCUCAAUAUCUACUUCAAAUUUACUAUAUUUGUUUGAUAGUUACCAAAAUUUAUAGUCACUUGCCAGCUGUAUUUAAACAAACUGUGUCUCUCCCUCUCUUUUAUUGAU